GUCGCCUCCCCGCUCAUCUGGCGAGUGACCGGACCUCUUCGGAAUGUUUCCAUUUAUGGCUAGAAUUCGGUCUUCCCUGUUUGGUCACAGGCGGGAGGGCUUGAGGGAGCAGAGAGCAUCGCAGAGCCACUCUCCGGAGCCAGGGCCGGGGGGCUGGGCGGGCAGGGCUCGGGGCCGCUGCCACGGGACCGGCCCCGCCCGGCGCGCAUCGCCGCGGACUCCGGUCACCUACGGAGCGCACGCGUGGCGGGAGUCGGUGCCCCCACAGGGCUCCCUUGGUGCCGUUAGCCGUGCGGCCUGGUUUGCCCUGUUUAUUCGAUGUCUCACGCCCCCACGAGACUGGACACCAGCCCUCAGGGACUGCUUCGUGCUCUGUGACUCGACCCUCCAUGUGGCCCUCUCCUCCCUGCCCAGCGCUUGUCCAGGGCGGCAGAAGGCGUAGAUAGGGCAGGAACCGCCCUCCACAGCCUGAACACCCAGGAAAGGGACUUGGGCCCAAGGAGUCUUCUGUCCUUCUCCAAGCUGUCAGCUAAAAUGCAGCCAAUUUUCUCCCUUUAUGUUAAAGGAAGGCAUUCUUUCCUGGUCUCUCCAUCUAGCUCCUAGACGGCCCGCCGCACGAGGGCUGGGUCUUCUCCCUAAGUCAGAUGCUCAGUCGCGGGGGCGGGGCAGGCAGGGGAAAGACGGGGACAGCCUCACAGAUUGAUGCGCUUUUGAUUGAUGCGCUUACUUUUGUACCUAGAACCAACACUCCUUCCUGGAAAGAGCAAAGCGUUCCUUUUUGGGGCUUUCCUCAUGGAAGUCUGACCUGCCGUCACCACCUGGGAGUGUCUGAUGGUGUUCCGUUGAAAAUCAGGUUUCCCCAACCCCCAAGCCCAUCAAGGACACAGCAGGGCCCAGAGAGAGCAGAAGUGCCGCGUCCCGAACUCUCUGAAGAAGCGACUUGGCGAAGCUCCCUGUUUCCAGCUCACCCUUCUUUGAGCCGCUCUUUCAGGGAUGAGGUGACCGUGGAAAAAAAGAAGCAUCAUGAGAAACCACUCAGCAAAGCUCACAGUGGAAAAUGGGUCACAGGGUGACCACAGUGAGUCAUUCUGGAUGGGGUACAGCACACACACAACCACCCCACACUGCCUGGGUCCUUGGGAAUUUCCAGUGGGAAGUCUCUGCUUCUGACCAAGACAGAUGGGACAGCCUGUCCCAGUGGGAACACUUCAGGAAGUCAAUGUUACUCAAUUCAAUUUAAAAUAAACAUUUAUUGAGCUUUAUGAAUCCAUCUUUGCCAAACACUGUGCUUUAUCUCAAAAGGGGAGCCACAUAAAUCUGGGUGGGAUCAGGAAAAGGCUGAGAAAUCAUUUUAGGUCUUGAAAGUUGGUUGAAUUU